GAUGAACGCCGGCGGCGUGCCUAAUACAUGCAAGUCGAGCGAACAGAUGAGGAGCUUGCUCCUCUGACGUUAGCGGCGGACGGGUGAGUAACACGUGGAUAACCUACCUAUAAGACUGGGAUAACUUCGGGAAACCGGAGCUAAUACCGGAUAAUAUAUUGAACCGCAUGGUUCAAUAGUGAAAGACGGUUUUGCUGUCACUUAUAGAUGGAUCCGCGCCGCAUUAGCUAGUUGGUAAGGUAACGGCUUACCAAGGCAACGAUGCGUAGCCGACCUGAGAGGAUGGUCCACCACAGUGGAGAUGAGAGGUCGACCAGCCUCCUACGGGAGGCAGUAGGGAAUCUUCCGCAAUGGGCGAAAGCCUGACGGAGCAACGCCGCGUGAGUGAUGAAGGUCUUCGGAUCGUAAAACUCUGUUAUUAGGGAAGAACAAAUGUGUAAGUAACUAUGCACGUCUUGACGGUACCUAAUCAGAAAGCCACGGCUAACUACGUG
rnacentral:rRNA from 1 species